rnacentral:rRNA from 1 species
GACAGAGGGUGCAAACGUUGUUCGGAAUUACUGGGCGUAAAGCGCGUGUAGGCUGCUCUGUGUGUCGGAUGUGAAAGCCCCGGGCUCAACCUGGGAAGUGCACUCGAAACUACAGAGCUGGAGUCUCGGAGGAGGAUCGCGGAAUUCUCGGUGUAGAAGUGAAAUUCGUAGAUAUCGAGAGGAACACCGGUGGCGAAGGCGGCGAUCUGGGACGAUGACGUGACGUGAGACGCGAAAGCGUGGGGAGCAAACAGGAUAA